CUUUUUUUUAUAUUACCACCAUUAUAAAAACAACAACUUACAUAUUUUUGAAAAGUGGAAAAAAAAGCUGAAAAAUUAAUGUGUCACUACAGUAUUUGAUGCUAAAAUGGAAUAAAUAUUCAAACUACUUAUAAAGAAAAACAGCAAUGUGUUUGCCAUCUUUUCUGCACAUAGAAUUUGACACAAUCUCUUUGAAGUGAUAUUUAAAAUCUUUGAAAGGAUUUGGAAAGCAUAACUUGAUGAUGUGAAGUGAAAGUUCAUUCUGAUCAAGAUAACAAGGGCUGAAUCCACUUCUACCUAUGUACACUUAGUUAUGUAUAUGUGAUAAUUCUUUUUAACUGCCAGAAAAGUUUCAGUCUUCUGGAUAUCAUGCUAUACUUGAGAAAUCCUUGAGAGAUUUCUAAUUAUUUUUUUUAAAUCACAGAGUUCCUUUUUUUUUUUUUUUUUUUACUUUUUAUAAGCUAUAUUUAUCUUUUGUUUAGAUAAAACAUGACAGUCUCCUAUACUCUGGUAUGGGCAUCCAACUUUGUAAGUAAGCUUACAAUUUCUCUCCAGCAUGUGAAGCUCUGUUGUUUCUUUAGCUAGUAAUAAUGACAUUUGGAUAUCCCAAUGUUAGGUCUGUCAGGCCCAACCUGCUUACCAAGUAGUGCUUGAUGUGUAGAACUGAGAAAAAUAUUUUUGUCAAACUACAUGCUUCAUUUAUAAUUUCAAUGCCAGCUGUCACAGCACUACUGAUCUUUUAUUAAAACUAGCUUCAUCUAUCAAGUCAUUAUUAUCUAAUAAACUAUUUUGGUGUAUAAUAUAAUUAGAUUUGAAGACAUAUUUUUGUACAAAAAAAUAUUUGUAAGCUCUCACUGUUGCUGAAAACACCAAUACAUUUUUUUCUAAAGUACUCAGUACUUGUGCUUUUAAAAACACAAAUGUUUUUCAUUCAAGUGGCAAUUAAAUACAAAGGAUAUAAAACAUGUACAUUCAAUAUUUUAUUAUAUACAUAACAUUUGAGCAUGACAAUGAUGACAUAAAGACAAGAUGAAACAUCUAUUACAGGAAAGAUACCAACAUUAACAAUGUAAAAUGAAAUU
rnacentral:sRNA from 1 species